UCAGCUCUGACAACUAAAGUCCUUUAUUUAUUUAUAGAGCAGAUACAACCUGGGAGGCAACAGCACCACAAACAUUCCCGCAUUGCCUCACCAUUGUGCCUCAACCUUGCCAUGGAGAGACCAUCUUUAGGGGUAAGAGAGUAGCUCAGCUGCCCUGCCUUUGGCCCCU
rnacentral:sRNA from 1 species